CCCUGCCCUUACUUGCGAUCGUUGUUUUGGUUGUUGGCUUGCGUGGUUACGCGUCUGCGGUGUCCUUUAAGUGGAUCCUCAGCCAUCCGUAAUCGAUGAUUUCGUUUUCGGAUUGGACGAUCCAUCGAUCGUUGAUUUCGUUUUCGGAUUGGAUGAUCUGUUUCCGAUAGAGGGCUUCACAAUUUUGCCGGAUUAAGGCCAUUUGCGACAGAUUUUAUAUGUACUUUCGAAGCGGUAGGUGAGGCUUUGGUGUUUGUGUGGGUAUUAUCUUAAUGGAACCCUCGCGGAGUCUGUGAGGCAAUUUGUGAAGGUUGCUCUGGUUUUCCGAAAUGAUCUGAACAAGGGAUGUGUCCUUUUUGAUCUGGUUUAGUUGGCCUUCGUUACUUUCAACUUUUAUUUGUUGCAUUUAUGUCCACCAGUUGGUUAUGUUUGUUUGUUUUUAUUUUUUGUGUGCAAGGGAAAGCUUCUGGAUAUGAUAUUUGAAAGAGAGAUGUGUGUGUUUUGCUACCAUGCUAUGAUAUUUGGUUUGAGAUAUACGCUAACGGUAUCUGCAUCAAUGCUGUGUCUUUUGGAUACUCUAGUUGGAUUUAGACGGGUAUCAGGGAAGAGUUCCAUCAACUUCUCAUUUUUUGAGGGUUUUUGUGGGCAGUUGCCGAAGCAUCAUCGUUAGGCAUGAUUCUAUUAAAUAGAGAUGAUUCUAUAUGUGUCAUCGACGCUGUUGGUGGGGCUCUGGUGUUUUUGUGAUUAUUAUCUGUAUGGAGCCACACGUAGCUGUGAUGCAGUUUGUAAAGGAUGCUCCAAUUAAGGAUGCUCUGGUUUUUGUUGAAUGAUUUAAAUAGGUUUUCCAUUAGAUAGUGUUAUAUUUAAGGGGUUUCAUUGUUGUGACAUACGUUGCUUAUUAUGAUGGAUCCAGGGCUUCCGAAAUUAUCUGAACAGUGGAUAUGUCCGGUUUGUGCUGGUUUAGUCAGCCCUUGUUACUUUCAAACAUUAAUUGUUGCCCUUACGUGCACAAGUUGGUCAUUUGAUACGGUUCUCAUCAAAGUAUGGUUGUUUGUUUUUAUUUGUUGUCUGCUAGGGGAAGCUGAUGGACAUCUAGUUUUGCAUGGGCAUGGGACAUUUUUUUGAAAGUGAGAUGAUUUAAAUUGGGUAUAUGGAAGGUUAUUUUGUUUGCCUAUUUGGUUUAUUACAUCCAGUUGUAUUCUUGGCUGCUCUUUCCAGAUGAAAUUUGGAUUUUCUGUCCUGGUUUUCUACAAUUAGUUAUGACGUUUGGUAGCAGGAUUUUAUUUUGGAGUUCAUACAUUUCUAAAUUGGGUUAAUUACAUCCUUUGGUGUUCUUGGCUGGUUGUAUUAGAGGAAGUCAGAUAAUUUUGUUGAAUAACUUGAAUUCUGUGGUCAUCAUUUCCAUUGGCGUCAUUGCUGUUCAUUUAUUGCCAAAAUGCAGUCCAACAGUGCAAAGUUGUUACAUUUGAAAGGUCAUUAUUUUCACCGACUUUUUGAUCCUUUGGCUUAUAAAAGUUCUCUGCUGCAUUUCUCUUCCUUUUAAUUAACUUCCAUUUCUCUUUUGAAUCAUGUUUCCUUUAUCUUGUGUGGAAGCUAGGACGUGGUAAUGAUUUUACGUACAGGUACCUAUGCUAUUAAGGUGUCUUUGUUGGUGAUCUUGGGUUAUGAUAAUUGUACUUGAUUGUUAUAUCGAUUUUUGAAUCAAUUCAAUGGCACAAUUGAUGGCUUCAAAAACAAGUGGGUUUUAAGAUGCAUUGUUACUUUUUUCUUGUAUCAAGUUGGAGGGAGGUACAGACAUGCUGUGUUCUCUUGUUUUUCCUUGAAAUUCAUUUUAUAUUGCUGAUUUUUAUGAGAAGUUAUCUUCUCAGGCUGAUGUACUUUUUGCUGCUCAUUUUAUGUGAUGUUUGUCUACUUGAAGCUUGUUUUGGGAGCUGGGUUUCAUGUUAAGAAAGUUGGGUUUCUCUUCAGUAUGGAGCCUUCAUAUUGUAAACAAAGGAGUCCAAUUUUCAUCAAGGAAUAUUCUUGUGGGAACCCAAUUGCUAAUUGAAUAUAUUUCCUUUUUGAAGAUUCUUCAACCAUAGCUGAUACAAACAAGUUUACAAGAUUGUUGUUUUGGUUUGCAUGAUGAAGAGAAUAGAAGUUCUACCUGUACUCCUGGUGAUGUGAACAAUGUAGUUGGAACAUCUACGGAAAGCCUAGCAUGAUUAAACAGAAAUUCAUGGGAAAGAUUUUAUUGGCUUUAACUGGUUUUCCCAGGAUUAACAUUAGAUUGAAAAGCUUGGAACUGACAUUUGAAUUUAUCCACUAGUACCUGUUGCUAUUCCCCAUGAUGUUUGCAAGUUUUGGUUCAAUUUUGUUCUUUUCCUGUGUGUACAUGUUUAUAUGGUUCAAAGAACACUGGAAGAUUGUGUUUGGUUGAAAGGGGGCGGUGCAUUUGGAUUGAGAUUAGCAAAUCGAAAAGAUUGGAAAAUGACUUUUGAUUGAGAUUAGGGCAUCGAGAAGGUUGGAAAAUGAUUCUUUAGUUGAUUCGCAAGUCUCAGUAGCUAUUACCGGUGAUGUUCUGCAAUUUAUGGAUGGAUUUUGUUUUAUUUUCCUGUGCCUACAUAUUUGUAUGUUCCAAAGAACUUUGGAAGUUCUGUUUUUGGUUGAAAACAUGGUGCAAUGGGAUGUUGUAUCUAUUACGCAAAUUGGUUGUACCAAAAAUUAUUGUGGACUAGUACUCAGAUUUUGUCAUAAGGUAUCAGAUCAAGGUUUUUGAUAUGGUUGUGUAUGAAUCAUGUAGGUGGUAAGUUGCAUGUUUUGAGCUUCCAAUGGUGAUGGUGUCUGGCGUUGGUAAGCUGGCCAGAUACAUUGUUCUUUCAAGUUGGUUCAUCCAUGAAUUGACAUUGUAUCCAUUGAUUUAAUUCAUGAUUGUUUGUAAGAAAACUUUUAAUGUUCGAUGUGUUGGUAAUUAUACUUCUACUAAGAAGUUUAUAUAAUAUUAUUUGGUAGCUUACAAGCUUUAUUUUUUGUCUGAUUCUGGUAGUGUUUUGUCAGUUAUUGGGUAGCAUGAUGUUGGUUGGGGGUGACUCUAUUUUGUGUCUUAGAUUUGUAUGUCUUGGGUUUUCUCUUGAACAGGAGUCUUUGACAAGGCAUAUCUUUGAUGAGGCAUAUCUGCCAUGUUCAUGUAGUUUUGUUUGCUCAAAACUUGCUUUUUUGCGACUUGCAAUUGUAUGACCCUUUUUCUGAUAUUGUUAUGCUUCCAUGCUUUAACAUUAAUGUUUUUUAGUUGGCAUCUGUGUGUAUUCUUGGAUUUUUCAUGACUAAAUGACUGUUCAUCACCAAUUUUUGAGUGUUUGUCAUGAGGGGAAUUUGUCCUCAGUUUUCUUCGUUGGUGAGGUGUUUAUGAAUCUUAAUUUUGUUUAUUAGGAAUUUCGGAGUAUCUAAUUUUGGUUGUAUUUAUUUAUUGAAUUGUGAAUUUUUGUAUUACAUUUUUGUUUCAUGAUUAUCUUCUAUAUUGUUUGUUGAUAUUUCAAAACUAUUCCAGUAGUCUAUAUUUUUUUAGUAAUUUGCUAGGUUUAGAUAGUAAGCUGAGUUGGAAAAUGAUAAGUGGAAGGUGUUCAUAAUUGUCUUCAGGUAACAAUAAAAUAUUAUUUAGUAAAAAAUAUAACUAUUGGGAAAUAAGCAUAUGAGAUUGUUUGCAAGCAUGUUUGGAAACAUGUGAAGACAAAAUUUGAAGCUUGAAGAAUAUGAGAAAAGGGUUAUAUAGCUAUCUUGAAAUUAAAGAGCAUGUGUUUAUUUAUCCCUUGUGAAUUUGCUUGGACUGUUUAUGAGGAUGUUAUGAUACUUGUGAGACUUUUUACUUGGUGUUGCAUCUUUGAAUUAUUUUAGAGCUUAUUCAGUAUGGUGACAAUUCCUGUUCAAUUAUGUUUGUUUUUUUUAAUUAUUACACUUUCCAUGCUUUUACGACUAAUUUACUGUGUUGAAUGUAUUUCCUGUUCAAUCAUGUUUGGUAUUUUCUUUGACUACAUUUUCCAAGCUACUAUGAUUAUUAGAUUACAUUUUCUUUGACUACAUUUUCUUUGUCGAUAUAUUUAGCUACUAUGCAAUUUGUUUAUUAGUAAUUUGAUUUUGUUGUUCGUAUAGGUUGUAGCAUAUUUUACAAUUAGUAUGAGAUUUGCAUUGAUUAUCGUUUAUCAAACAGAUGGGUUUGCUGUUUAGAAUUUAAAAUUAAAUACAAAAACGAACAAGAAUAGAAGUAAGACUGGUAAAUUGGACAUUGCAAUAACCACUUUACUAUCAUUGUUGUUUUCCAAGCUUAGCUAAGAAGACUAUAAAGUUGGAUAUUAUGUGAUUUGUAGUUGCAUUGGAUGUUUUUUAUGGUCAGAAGUUCAUUGCUGGAUAGGUAUUCUCCAGGGAGGUUGAUCAACUUCUCCUUUUGUCAACAUUUGGUGAUUGCAUUGGACUUCUACUUUACUGCUUGAUUGUUUUAUCUAAUUCUAUUUAUGUAUUCACAUUUUUCUUCUUCUCUUUUUUCCCUAAUUGUCUUUAUUUUUUCUGAUGGUUGGUAAAUUUUCUAUUGUUAAUCAUAAAUUCUAUAAUGGUAUUCAAUUGGCAAAUAUGUUGGGCAUAUGAUAGCUGUUGGCUUGAGAAUUAUGGGCAUUAUCUUUUUCCAUGUGAUAGCUGUUGGCUUUGUAGUUAUCUAUUGGUUCAUUUUGUGAGAAGUCUGCUUCUUGUUUUGCUGUUCUGUUGUGACAUUCCAGAAGCAUUGUUCCAUCACCUGGUGCAGUCUGGUUUUGCAUAUAUAAGAGAUAUGAUGACAUCUAUCUUGACUCUCUCCAGAUAGAUUAUAAAGCCUGGUGACUGAUACAUCUGCUUAUUUUCUACAUAAUACACCUGGUCUCUUUAUGUAUUCAUUUGUUGUGUUUCAGAUCUUCUGAACAUUGAUCUCCUCCUUGAUUUUUUGUUGUGUGGCAUCCAAUAGCUUUUUUGUUUCUGAAAUUUUGGGGUAUCUUAGCUUCUGAACCUUAAUUUUGGGUUUUUAAUGUGAUCUUUCAUGAUCAUGGGGUCAUCAAAAUGUCUGUUUUUGUUGGAACUUUCUGUGAUAUACUGAUAAUGAAAUUGGUACAUUCUCUGUUCUAAUGAGUUCAUUACAUCCAUUGUUAUUUUUCACUUGGCUAUUGAAGAGCCUAUAGUUUUUAUGUCCUGGUUUUGGUGUUUCAGUUUUGGUUAAUUUUUCAUAAUUUCCUUUUUUUUUCCUCUUGACAUUGCAUUCGGUGGUACAAAUUAUUUUGUGCUUCAUCUUUGUGAACCAUUGGUAUCAGAAUUUCUGUGGUCUCUUUCCAUUUAUUCAGCUUUUGCUUUUCUUUUCUUUGAGACACAUGCCUGUUUCUCUUAUUCUAUGCUUCAUUUAUUGUUCAAGAAGCUAGGAUGGGGCUAAACAGUGAAUGCAGUGAACCUUUGGUUGGUGAUCUCGAGCAAUAAUGGUAUGUAAUUUUGACAGUCUGUUAAAUAUUCACCAAUAGGGUCACUCAGCGAACUGGGUUUUCAAUUCUAUUAUAUUUUGUAGUUGCAGCAAUCUGUAAGUCAUUAUAUUUUGGUUUCUGAAAUUUUGGGAUGUCUUAGUUUCUGAAUCUUGAUUAUGGGGUUUAAUGCCAUCCAUCAUGAUGAGCAUGGGCAUUUUUAUAUACAAACUAGGUCAUCAAAAUGUCCGAUUGUAGGAAUAGAUCAUAAAAGUGUCAAAGAACCUAUAGAUUAUUUUUCACAAUAUCCUUUUUUUUUUCUUUGAAAUAGAUUUUAGUUGUACAUUGCCUUCAAUUCUAUAUCACAAUUUUUGUUGUUACUUUAUGGACAUUGUAUUGGGUGGUACAAAUUAUGUUGCACUUCAUCAUUGUGAACCAUUGGUACUAAAUCUCUCUGUUGCUCUCUUUCCACUUAUUCAGCUUUUGCUCGUCUCUUUUUCUAAACAUGUGCUUGAUUCUCUUCUAUGCUUUAUCUAUUGUUCAGAAGUUAGGAUGAGGCUAACAGUGAAUGUGGUAAACCUUUGGUUGGUGAUCUUGACUAAUAAUGAUGCGGGAUGACCCAAACUACCUCUUUCCAAUGUUUCUUCAAUUUGGAGUUAUGAUAGUAUAAUAUUGGUUGGUUGGUGGUAGCUUAACGUAGAUUGUUUGUAAUUUCUUUUGUAGGACUUUAAUGUUAUGUUUAGCACUGUUACAAAUGCUUCAAUUUGGAGUGGAUACUUUUGUCUAGUUGUGUAAUAAUUUGAAAACUUUUGUGUCUUCACAUUGAUUGUCUAAAUGGAUAAGAGGGGGUGGGCAUUGCUGCAGAUAAUGCAUGCGAGUGGAUGAUCGUAAUGUGCUGUUUGUGAACGUGGAUGCUUGGUCGUGGGUUUCUGUUGUGUUAUAAUUUGAGAUUAUCGUUGGUUGCAUUUGUGUUUGUUUUGACAUAAUUUUUAGGUUUAUUGUUUGACACUGCCAUUGCAUGUUUCAAGCCUGGAUGAGAAAACGUGGAGGGGGCAAUAGCUGAUCGGUACCUCUCUGUUGUAAACAAUCCAAAUGAUCUGCGAGUAUCACUAUAUGAGUGCAUUGCUCAACCUGCCCAUAGGAGCAACUUGUAUGACUCUCAUGUUUGGUUUUCGAAAUUCGAACUCUAGGGAUAAUAUUUCUCUUUGAGGUUUCUGUGUAGUGUACAUUGUAUGUAUAAUAUCUUUUCAAAAUGGAAUGUUUUUUUAAA